rnacentral:rRNA from 1 species
UACUAGAGUAGCACUCGCAUAUCAAUAAGCGGAGGAAAAGAAACUAACAAGGAUUCCCCUAGUAACGGCGAGUGAAGCGGGAAGAGCUCAAAUUUGAAAUCUUAAAGGGUUUCCCUUUACGAAUUGUAGUUUAAAGAAGUGUUUUCUGUUGAGGUUUUGGUAAAAGUUCUUUGGAAUAGGACAUCAUAGAGGGUGAGAAUCCCGUAUUUGACCUUUACUUUCAACUUUGUGAUACACUUUCAAAGAGUCGGAUUGUUUGGGAAUGCAGUCCAAAAUGGGUGGUAAAUUUCAUCUAAAGCUAAAUAUUGGCGAGAGACCGAUAGCGAACAAGUACCGUGAGGGAAAGAUGAAAAGAACUUUGAAAAGAGAGUUAAACAGUACGUGAAAUUGUCAAAAGGGAAGCGUUUGACACCAGUGUUGUUUUUCUGAAAAUCAAUUAAAGAACUGUUUAUGCUAAGUUGUUUAGACUUUAUCAGCUAUCUGUUUAGUUUUGAGCUUUUCUUUAAUGCACUUUUCAGUUAACAAGUCAACAUCAAUUUCUUUUGCUGUAAAAAAGCUUGAGGAAGGUGGCUUGAGAUUCGUCUUAAGUGUUUAUAGCCUCUUGCCUAUGCAGUCGGAGAGAUUGAGGUCUGCAGCGUAGAUCCUUCGGGGCUAAACGCAUUUGUGCUAAGUUAUAGCAUUUUAUAGACAACUUGUUGACUAUGAUUUGUCUUGUAGCUUACUCGCUUAUGUUAUUUUACCUACGCUUAGGAUGUUGAUCUACAGAGCGAGAGU